rnacentral:rRNA from 1 species
ACAGCUCAAAUUUGAAAUCUGGGUCUUUUAGGCUCCGAGUUGUAAUUUGUAGAAGAUGCUUUGGGUGCGGCCCCGGUCUAAGUUCCUUGGAACAGGACGUCAUAGAGGGUGAGAAUCCCGUAUGUGAUCGGUGGCUUGCGCCCGUGUAAAGCUCUUUCGACGAGUCGGGUUGUUUGGGAAUGCAGCUCUAAAUGGGUGGUAAAUUUCAUCUAAAGCUAAAUAUUGGCCAGAGACCGAUAGCGCACAAGUAGAGUGAUCGAAAGAUGAAAAGCACUUUGGAAAGAGAGUUAAACAGUACGUGAAAUUGUUGAAAGGGAAGCGCUUGCAACCAGACUUGCGCGGGGUUGAUCAUCCGGGGUUCUCCCCGGUGCACUCGGCCUCGCUCAGGCCAGCAUCGGUUUUGGUGGUUGGAUAAAGGCCUUGGGAAUGUGACUUCUUUCGGGGAGUGUUAUAGCCCUCGGUGCAAUGCAGCCUACCGGGACCGAGGACCGCGCUUCGGCUAGGAUGCUGGCGUAAUGGUUGUAAGCGACCCGUCUUGAAACACGGACCAAGGAGUCUAACAUCUAUGCGAGUGUUUGGGUGUCAAACCCAUACGCGUAAUGAAAGUGAACGGAGGUGAGAACCCUUAAGGGUGCAUCAUCGACCGAUCCUGAUGUCUUCGGAUGGAUUUGAGUAAGAGCAUAGCUGUUGGGACCCGAAAGAUGGUGAACUAUGCCUGAAUAGGGUGAAGCCAGAGGAAACUCUGGUGGAGGCUCGCAGCGGUUCUGACGUGCAAAUCGAUCGUCAAAU